CAUCGGUCCUCUCGCGACGAGUAGCCGCAAAUCCCGCCAGGUCCGGAAGGAAGCAACGGUAGCGGUGCGCUCGGGCGCCGGGAUGUGGCGGGUGCGC
rnacentral:SRP_RNA from 1 species